GUCUAUAGCCAUGCCACCCUGAACAAACCCGAUGUCUGAUCUCAGAAGCUAAGCAGGGUCGGGCCUGGUUAGUACUUGGAUGGGAGUCCAUCUAGGAAGACCAGGUGCUAUAGGCA
rnacentral:rRNA from 1 species